rnacentral:snRNA from 1 species
AAGUGAACACAGCUCUUUUAGAAUUUUUCUAGCAGGAUUUCUGACUUUGGUCAGAAAAGUCCAAA